AACGAACGCUGGCGGCAGGCCUAACACAUGCAAGUCGAGCGGACCCUUCGGGGUUAGCGGCGGACGGGUGAGUAACGCGUGGGAACGUGCCCUUUGCUUCGGAAUAGCCCUGGGAAACUGGGAGUAAUACCGGAUACGCCCUUUUGGGGAAAGAUUUAUCGGCGAAGGAUCGGCCCGCGUUGGAUCAGGUAGUUGGUGGGGUAAUGGCCUACCAAGCCGACGAUCCAUAGCUGGUUUGAGAGGAUGAUCAGCCACACUGGGACUGAGACACGGCCCAGACUCCUACGGGAGGCAGCAGUGGGGAAUCUUAGACAAUGGGGGAAACCCUGAUCUAGCCAUGCCGCGUGAGCGAUGAAGGCCUUAGGGUUGUAAAGCUCUUUCACCGGGGAAGAUAAUGACGGUACCCGGAGAAGAAGCCCCGGCUAACUCCGUG
rnacentral:rRNA from 1 species